rnacentral:rRNA from 1 species
CCUACGGGAGGCAGCAGUGGGGACUAUUGCACAAUGGGGGAAACCCUGAUGCAGCGACGCCGCGUGAGUGAAGAAGUAUUUCGGUAUGUAAAGCGCUAUCAGCAGGGAAGAAAAUGACGGUACCUGACUAAGAAGCCCCGGCGAACUACGUGCCAGCAGCCGCGGUAAUACGUAGGUGGCAAGCGUUAUCCGGAUUUACUGGGUGUAAAGGGAGCGUAGACGGUGAUGCAAGUCAGAAGUGAAAGCACGGGGCUCAACUCCGGGACUGCUUUUGAAACUGUGUGACUGGAGUGCAGGAGAGGUAAGCGGAAUUCCUGGUGUAGCGGUGAAAUGCGUAGAUAUCAGGAGGAACACCAGUGGCGAAGGCGGCUUAAUGGACUGUAACUGACGUUGAGGCUCGAAAGCGUGGGGAGCAAACAGGAUUAGAUACCCCGGUAGUC